rnacentral:rRNA from 1 species
AGCGAACGCUGGCGGCGUGCCUAGCACAUGCAAGUCGAACGUGAAAAGGGAAACCUGAGUACAGUGGCGUACGGGUGAGUAACGCGUAGGUAAUCUACCCCAGAAUCUGGAAUAACCUGCCGAAAGGCGGGCUAAUACUGGAUAGAGCGAGGGAACUCGUAAGAGAGUUUUUCGGGAAAGGGAGCCCGCAAGGGCCUUCGUUCUGGGAUGAGCCUGCGUCUCAUUAGCUAGUUGGUAAGGUAACGGCUUACCAAGGCGAUGCUGAGUAGCUGGUCUGAGAGGAUGAUCAGCCACACUGGAACUGAAACACGGUCCAGACUCCUACGGGAGGCAGCAGUGGGGAAUCUUGCGCAAUGGACGAAAGUCUGACGCAGCCACGCCGCGUGAGUGAAGAAGGCCUUCGGGUUGUAAAGCUCUGUCGGAUGGGACGAACAUCUUCAUAGUGAAUAGCUAUGAGGACUGACGGUACCAUCAAAGGAAGCACCGGCUAACUCCGUG